rnacentral:rRNA from 1 species
GGGCUCACACAAGCGGUGGAGCAUGUGGCUUAAUUCGAGGCAACGCGAAGAACCUUAUCCUGGAUUUGACAUGUGCGGAUUAACUCUCUGAAAGGAGAGCCACGCCUUCGGGUGGAACGUGCACAGGUGCUGCAUGGCUGUCGUCAGCUCGUGUCGUGAGAUGUCGCGUUAAGUCGCUAAACGAGCGUAACCCCUAUCCUUAGUUGCCAGCACGUUAUGGUGGGGACUCUAAGGAGACCGCCGGCGUCAAGCCGGAGGAAGGCGGGGAUGACGUCAAGUCCUCAUGGCCUUUAUGUCCAGGGCUGCACACGUGCUACAAUGGUGCGUACAGAGGGACGCUAAGCCGCGAGGCCAAGCAAAUCCCAAAAAGCGUGCCCCAGUUCGGAUUGCAGGCUGCAACUCGCCUGCAUGAAGCCGGAAUCGCUAGUAAUCGCCGGUCAGCAAUACGGCGGUGAAUGUGUUCCUGAGCCUU